rnacentral:rRNA from 1 species
UCGUGGGCGUAGGAAAUUUGAGAGGAGCUGUCCUUAGUACGAGAGGACCGGGAUGGACAUACCUCUGGUGUACCAGUUGUCGUGCCAACGGCAUAGCUGGGUAGCUAUGUAUGGACGGGAUAAGUGCUGAAAGCAUCUAAGCAUGAAGCCCCCCUCAAGAUGAGAUUUCCCAACUUCGGUUAUAAGAUCCCUCGAAGAUGACGAGGUUAAUAGGUUCGAGGUGGAAGCGUGGUGACACGUGGAGCUGACGAAUACUAAUCGAUCGAAGACUUAAUCAA